rnacentral:rRNA from 1 species
ACGCUUGAAGUCAGUCACAUUGACUCGAAAUCAGCUCUGCUUUUGCUGGGUGUAUUUUCUUGCCAAUGGGUCAGCAUCAAUUUUGACCAUUGGAUAAAGUCAUUGGGAAUGUGGCAUCUUUUAGAUGUGUUAUAGCCUGGUGAUGCAUACAGUGGUUGGGAUUGAGGAAUUCAGCACGCCACCAGGCCGGGUUUUCUGACCACGUUCGUGCUUAGGAUGCUGGCAUAAUGGCUUUAAUUGACCCGUCUUGAAACACGGACCAAGGAGUC